CGUGGGCUCCCUUCCCCUCCGUGACCCCUGACCUCAGAUCCCCUUAAGUUCCGCGUCCGAAAGAUUUGCUUCGGGAGGCGCCUCGCGGUCCCUCAUCCCCAAAUCUUCCAGCUAACCCCACGGUUCUCCCAGCCCAGCAGGGGCGGGCAGAAGCGGUGACGAGGCACUUUUGCCAGGAAAGGAGGGACUGUUCCAGAGCCUGGGGGCUGCAGUGGUCAGGUGUUCUGCCCACCUGGCUGGGAAGGCAGAGCCUGCCUGGAAACUACCACAGUGAAACAGCACAGAGGAAAGCAGAUGUCAAGUGGUACCCAUGGGUCCAAACACUUAAUUGGGCAAAUAUUGUGUUUCUCCUUCUCUACAAGCCUUACUAUCUGGCUUGAGGCUCCACCCUUCAGAGACUCCAGGAUUGGGGGAACUCACCUCGAUAUAAUGGUCUGUGAAUUCAGUUCCAAAUUCCCGGCUUGCACCAAAGUCCAGCAAGAUCACCUGGAAAUGAAGGAUGGUGAAAGGGACACUGGGAAUCCACCAGUGCUGCCCAUUGUCUAUGGGGGGGCCAGGGUCUGUCCCUCUCUCCCCACACACUGCCCCUCCUGCCCAAGUCCCCGCCCAGCUGCCUCCCCUGGGCUCCUGGCUUCCGGUCUCCACACAUCAAUCCACCCCCACAUGAAGCUGAAGGG